GACGAACGCUGGCGGCGUGCUUAACACAUGCAAGUCGAACGAUGAAGCUAGAGCUUGCUCUGGUGAAUUAGUGGCGAACGGGUGAGUAACACGUGAGUAACCUGCCCCGAACUCUGGGAUAACUGCUGGAAACGGUAGCUAAUACUGGAUACGACCUACGAAGGCAUCUUCUGUAGGUGGAAAGAAUUUCGGUUCGGGAUGGACUCGCGGCCUAUCAGCUUGUUGGUGAGGUAAUGGCUCACCAAGGCGACGACGGGUAGCCGGCCUGAGAGGGUGACCAGCGACACUGGGACUGAGACACGGCCCAGACUCCAACGGGGGGCAGGAGUGGGGAAUAUUGCACAAUGGGCGCAAGACUGAUGCAGCAACGCCGCGUGAGGGAUGACGGCCUUCGGGUUGUAAACCUCUUUUAGUAGGGAAGAAGCGAAAGUGACGGUACCUGCAGAAAAAGCACCGGCUAACUACGUGCCAGCAGCCGCCGUAA
rnacentral:rRNA from 1 species